rnacentral:rRNA from 1 species
GAUAAACGCUGGCGGCGCACAUAAGACAUGCAAGUCGAACGGACUUAACUCGAAGUUUACUUUGAGAGCGGUUAGUGGCGGACUGGUGAGUAACGCGUGAGCAACCUGCCUACUAGAGGGGAAUAACAGUGAGAAAUCACUGCUAAUACCGCAUAUGCUUACACUAUCACAUGAUAGAGUGAGGAAAGGAGUAAUCCACUAGUAGAUGGGCUCGCGUCUGAUUAGCUAGUUGGUGGGGUAAUGGCCUACCAAGGCGACGAUCAGUAGCCGACCUGAGAGGGUGAUCGGCCACAUUGGGACUGAGACACGGCCCAA